rnacentral:rRNA from 1 species
AUUGGACAAUGGGCGCAAGCCUGAUCCAGCCAUACCGCGUGGGUGAAGAAGGCCUUCGGGUUGUAAAGCCCUUUUGUUGGGAAAGAAAAGCAAUCGAUUAAUACUCGGUUGUUCUGACGGUACCCAAAGAAUAAGCACCGGCUAACUUCGUGCCAGCAGCCGCGGUAAUACGAAGGGUGCAAGCGUUACUCGGAAUUACUGGGCGUAAAGCGUGCGUAGGUGGUUGUUUAAGUCUGUUGUGAAAGCCCUGGGCUCAACCUGGGAAUUGCAGUGGAUACUGGGCAACUAGAGUGUGGUAGAGGGUAGUGGAAUUCCCGGUGUAGCAGUGAAAUGCGUAGAGAUCGGGAGGAACAUCCAUGGCGAAGGCAGCUACCUGGACCAACACUGACACUGAGGCACGAAAGCGUGGGGAGCAAACAGGAUUAGAUACCCUGGUAGUCCACGCCCUAAACGAUGCGAACUGGAUGUUGGGUGCAAUUUGGCACGCAGUAUCGAAGCUAACGCGUUAAGUUCGCCGCCUGGGGAGUACGGUCGCAAGACUGAAACUCA